rnacentral:lncRNA from 1 species
UGCAUUUUCUGAUACCUUCAUAUUCUCCCAUUUCAUUGAAAAUUUUCAAAAUUAGUAACAAACUAACAAUAAUCAAAACUUAGAAUCCUCAGUUACACAGUAAACCAUCAAUUUCAGAGUGUAGUUAUGCCGGUGGUUACAGUGAGUAUGUUUUGGUAGUUUGAAUCGGUUGUGACAAGUCCUUGUUGAUAUACACAUACGAUUCAUUAUGUUG